ACCAAGUCCUAUAAUAAGAACUAGGAACUCAUCUGGAUCGUUCAUUGAGAUUCAUCUGACGGCCUAUAGUUCACCCGCUUCAUUAAGGGUAUUUCCGUAAUUUUAGUCAAUGAAUGACCUUUGUUCUAAUUUUUUCGCUUCUGUUUUUUUUUUUUUUUUUCGCUCUCUUCUUCUUAGUUUCUCUCUCUUCUCUUGAAAGCUCUCUACGGCAAUUGAUAGUUCGAUUUCGCUGUUCGAUUUUUUGGAUUUCGCUGUAUGAUAUCUUCAAUUUAGUUCCAAUUCUUCGAGUUUGCUACUCGAUUUAUGUUAAUCGAUCAUCAUGGAGAGGGGAAUGAGGUGUAUGUAAUGAAGUUGCAUGGAGAAGUUCUAAAUCCGAGAAGUGGUUGAGUCUUGCUGUCUUGCCAAGGUUGCUGCCCUGCCAAGGGUGCAGAUACUACUGUGGUGUUGGUGCCGAUAGAAUUUGGACAUGAUCUGAUGUUCAGUACAAAGCUAUGAAAUUAACAUAAGUGGAAGCAAAAUUCUUAAGUUGCUGCCCUGCCAUGGCUUGCUACUGCAGCUUCUAAUUUUGGCUUGACAAGGCUGCUGUGCUAAUUUCUGCUCUACCGCCUGCUGCUGUUGUGCUACUUCUACUUUACCGCCUGCUGCUGCUAUGCUACUUCUGCUACACUGCUGCUGCUGUAAAUGUUUGUUGGGAGUUCUUGAAGUUGAGCGAAACGGGCUAAGUCAGGCUCCUGCAAAUGUUUAUUGGAGUGCUAGACCUUUAUGGGAAGUGAUUACCCAAAAGGUUCCUCCUUGCCCAAUGAUGUGAAAAAGUGGCUUCUGAAGAAACCUUCAAAGGACAUGAAGAAAAAUCAGAGUAAAACCGAUGUGAAGAGUCGUUUAAGUGACAAAGUGAUUCCCGUUAAGGAACGCUUGGGGGAAAAGGUUGAGUUCAAAACACCUACAAUG